rnacentral:rRNA from 1 species
UACGAAGGGGGCUAGCGUUGCUCGGAAUCACUGGGCGUAAAGCGCACGUAGGCGGAUCUUUAAGUCAGGGGGGAAAUCCCAAGGCUCAACCUUGGAACUGCCUUUGAUACUGGGGAUCUCGAGUCCGGAAGAGGUGAGUGGAACUGCGAGUGUAGAGGUGAAAUUCGUAGAUAUUCGCAAGAACACCAGUGGCGAAGGCGGCUCACUGGUCCGGUACUGACGCUGAGGUGCGAAAGCGUGGGGAGCAAACAGG